UGCAUGUGGGAGGGUAGGAGUUUCUAUAUUUCCCCGUUUUUCUUCUGGGGUAAGACAUCAUGCUAUAUAACAAGGCAAUGACACCCUCAAGGUUAGAAGCCUUGGUAGCCUAUUAUCGUGUGCUUCUCUGGCCUCUAGGGGCUGACAUUCACCCUACGACCUGGCGAGGUGACGGCGCUGGUAGGACCCAAUGGGUCUGGGAAAAGCACAGUGGCUGCCCUGCUGCAGAAUCUGUACCAGCCCACCGGGGGACAGCUGCUGUUGGAUGGGAAGCCCCUUCCCCAAUAUGAGCACCGCUACCUGCACAGGCAGGUGGCUGCAGUGGGACAAGAGCCACAAGUAUUUGGAAGAAGUCUUCAAGAAAAUAUUGCCUAUGGCCUGACCGAGAAGCCAACUAUGGAGGAAAUCACAGCUGCUGCAGUAAAGUCUGGGGCCCAUAGUUUCAUCUCUGGACUCCCUCGGGGCUAUGACACAGGUACUCUCUCCUCUUAUCUCACCACCCAGCCAUCUUUACCUUUGCUGAAACCCCAGUAGUCUUGCCUUUAUCCUUCAGUACCUCCUGACUCAUGGACAUCAAUUUGAAGUUGUAAGAUCAUGCUCCUACGGCUUCUUCAUCCUGACAUUCUCAGGAUUCUGUUCAUCUUCCCAGAAUCUCCCCUAUCCAGCUACAACCACCAGAUCUUGGUGUGUGUGAGUGUGUGAAUGCAUGAGUGUGUCUGUGUGCAUGUGCGUGUAUGUACAUGCGUGCACACAUAUGGCUAUACAGUUCUCAUCUUGGCCCUUUGCUCUGCAGAGGUAGGCGAGGCUGGGAGCCAGCUGUCAGGGGGUCAGCGACAGGCAGUGGCAUUGGCCCGAGCAUUGAUCCGGAAACCAUGUGUACUUAUCCUGGAUGAUGCCACCAGUGCCCUGGAUGCAAACAGCCAGUUACAGGUGGAGCAGCUCCUGUACCAAAGCCCUGAGCGGUACUCCCGCUCAGUGCUUCUCAUCACCCAGCACCUCAGCCUGGUGGAGCAGGCUGACCACAUCCUCUUUCUGGAAGGA
rnacentral:sRNA from 1 species